UACGAAGGGGGCUAGCGUUGCUCGGAAUCACUGGGCGUAAAGCGCACGUAGGCGGAUUGCUAAGUCAGGGGUGAAAUCCUGGAGCUCAACUCCAGAACUGCCUUUGAUACUGGCGACCUUGAGUCCGGGAGAGGUGAGUGGAACUGCGAGUGUAGAGGUGAAAUUCGUAGAUAUUCGCAAGAACACCAGUGGCGAAGGCGGCUCACUGGCCCGGAACUGACGCUGAGGUGCGAAAGCGUGGGAGCAAACGGG
rnacentral:rRNA from 1 species